UACGGAUUCGACAGGGAUAGUUCGAGCUUAGGUCGCGAGCCGUAGGGAUCGUCUACGUUAAAACGUCAAAGCCAAUAUAACUGGCAAAACUAACAAUAACCUAGCUUUAGCUGCAUAAUAGCACUUUAGCUGUUCCUCCCUCCAUCGCCUAUGUGGUAGGGUAAGGGACUCACUCUUAGUAGGCUACGCCGGAGUCCACCGUCUGAGGACAAAGGAAGAGAUCAAUCAGACUAGCUACACGGACGCCCGUCGAUAGGCAGAAGCUGUAGCGAACUUGCGAAUAUAUCGACUACGCUCGUAGACGCUUAAGUGGCGAUGUUUCUGGACGUGGGUUCGAUUA
rnacentral:tmRNA from 1 species